GUCCACGCCGUAACGAUGGAUACUAGCUGUUGGGCAACUUCAGUGGCUAAGCGAAGUGAUAAGUAUCCCACCUGGGAGUACGUUCGCAAGAAUGAAACUCAAAGGAAUUGACGGGCCCGCACAAGCGGUGGAGCAUGUGGUUUAAUUCGAUGAUACGCGAGGAACCUUACCAAGGCUUAAAUGUAGAUUGACCGGUUUGGAAACAGAUCUUUCGCAAGACAAUUUACAAGGUGCUGCAUGGUUGUCGU
rnacentral:rRNA from 1 species